rnacentral:rRNA from 1 species
CUGCGAGUGAAGCGGCAAAAGCUCAAAUUUGAAAUCGGAUGUUUUUGACAUUUGAAUUGUAAUUUGGAGGGAUAUCUUCGGAGCUGGCGCUGUCCUAAGUUCUUUGGAACCAGACAUCAUAGAGGGUGAGAAUCCCGUGCCUGGGUGGCUGUCCAGUUCCAUGUGAAGUGUCUCCGACGAGUCGAGUUGUUUGGGAAUGCAGCUCAAAAUGGGUGGUAAAUUUCAUCUAAAGCUAAAUAUUGGCGAGAGACCGAUAGCGCACAAGUAGAGUGAUCGAAAGAUGAAAAGCACUUUGAAAAGAGAGUUAAACAGUACGUGAAAUUGUUGAAAGGGAAGCGCUUGAGACUAGAUUCGGCCGGCGGUCAUCAGCUACGUUUCUACGUGGUGCACUUGCCGUCGGUUGAGCCAGCAUCGGUUUUGAUGGCGGGAUAAAGGUUUCAGGAAUGUGGCUCCUCAAUUUUGAGGAGUGUUAUAGCCUGGAGCGCAAUGCCGCCUGUCGGGACCGAGGACCGCGCUUUUGCUAGGAUGCUGGCUAAAAGGUCUUAAGCGGCCCGUCUUGAAACACGGACCAAGGAGUCUAACAUCUAUGCGAGUGUUCGGGUGGAAAACCCUUGCGCGUAAUGAAAGUGAACGGAGGUGGGAACCCCUUUGGGGUGCACCAUCGACCGAUCCUGAUGUUUACGGAAGGAUUUGAGUAGGAGCAUAGCUGUUGGGACCCGAAAGAUGGUGAACUAUGCCUGAAUAGGGUGAAGCCAGAGGAAACCUUGGUGGAAGCUCGCAGCGGUUCUGACGUGCAAAUCGAUCGUCAAAUUUGGGUAUAGGGGCGAAAGACU